rnacentral:lncRNA from 1 species
UUCUGACAAUGUGGAAGUUUUUGUCUUAUUUUAUUUCUUUUUUUUCUGAGUCCUUUUGUUAUGGCUAAUUUCUGCGCAGUGUCCAUAAAAUAUGCUAAAACAGAAACAUGGCUGACACAAAAGUCGACAAGAAGGAGAUCUCUGCCAAGGUAAGUGGAGGGCAAUUUGUGACCUGAGCGAUGGAUAAAUUACAAUUUCUACACUUUCUUUCAUUCAAAUCUAUUCCGAACGGAAUAUUUUGAAUGGAGAACAACUAUAGGAAACUGGAACAAGUGUUUAUCCGAGCUUCAUCAAAUCUAACUGGUUUUGGAUGAGGCUUCUGUUGCGGUUGUAGGAAUUAAAACACUUUUUUUGGAGACCUAUGAUAUUAGAUAAAAAUUUAGCCUAACAAUCAAUGAGUACGCCGAAGUUGCGCUCACUAGUCUACUGAAACAUUAACAGCAAGCUGCGAUGCUUUUAUUGCCCAGAGUACAAGUCUGCGCGCGUUUCUUUGUUUAUACUACCGUGUCUGUUCAGUUGAGCACGGAUUUGAAGCUCGUUUGAAGAACUCAUUCACACACUCACAUACUUCUGCUUUGUCGUGUUGAUCAAUUCGCUUUGUAUACUUCUCAUUUUAUAGGCUACAUUGUAUUUGCUGGUCGAGGCUGCAAUUGAUUGAUCCAAUCGACAAAUUCGUACCGCGCACCGGCUCUGUCAUAACUUGCUACUUGAAUAGAUCCCAUUGUUUUUGGAGGCUGUUUUCAUUGAAUAUAUGAUAUUGAUGUGGAAGUUUAUGGGGAAUGGCUCGGACGUAAAAGCCUCGCGCCUUUUAGAAUUCAGAAUGUGGUGAAAGGGAUUUAAAUUGCGCGUAAAGGAUUAAUAACGGAAACAACAUGAAAAUUAUACCCGACCUGAGUACGAGAUGAGUAAACUACGGGAGUAAUUAUUUUGCAUAACUGUAAAUGGAGUGGGGAUAGCGAUUCAUGUCUUCUAGU